rnacentral:rRNA from 1 species
GAUCCUGGCUCAGGACGAACGCUGGCGGCGCGCCUAACACAUGCAAGUCGAACGAGAGAGAGGAAGCUUGCUUCCUCGAUCGAGUGGCGAACGGGUGAGUAACGCGUGAGGAACCUGCCUCAAAGAGGGGGACAACAGUUGGAAACGACUGCUAAUACCGCAUAAGCCCACGACCCGGCAUCGGGAAGAGGGAAAAGGAAGCAAUCCGCCUUUGUAGAUGGCCGUCCGCGUCCGACUUAGUCUAGUUGGGUUGG